GUGAUUGCUUCAGCAGCACAUCUAUUAAAAUUGGAACAACAAAGAGAAGAUUAGCACGGCUCCUGUACAAGGAUAACACACAAAUUCUUGAGGCAUUUCAUAUUUUU